GUUGCGGUUAAAAAGCUCGUAGUUGGAUUUCUGUUGAGGACAGCCGGUCCGUACUUUGUACGUGUAUCUGGUUUGGCCUUGGCAUCCUCAUAGAGUACGCCGCUGCGCUUGAUUGCGUGGCGCGGAAUCUAUGACUUUUACUUUGAGGAAAUUAGAGUGUUCACGGCAGGCUUUCGCCAUGAAUAUAUUAGCAUGGAAUAAUAAUAUAGGACCUUCGUUCUAUUUUGUUGGUUUCUAGAACUUAGGUAAUGAUUAAUAGGGACAAAUGGGGGCAUUCGUAUUAACGCGUCAGAGGUGGAAUUCUUGGAUUGCGUUACGACGAACUACUGCGAAAGCAUUUGCCAAAGAUGUUUUCAUUGAUCAAGAACGAAAGUAUGGGGAUCGAAGACGCUUAGAUACCGUCGUAGUCUAUACCAUAAACUAUGCCAACUAGAGAUUGGUGGGGUUCUCCUAUUUGGCUCUAUCAGCAUCUUAUGAGAAAU
rnacentral:rRNA from 1 species